UAAAGACUCCUUUUCCAAUAAGUAGAUAUCCAUUAGUGGGAUUGCUGGAUCAAAUGGUAGUUCUACUUUUAGUAAAUGAUCAUAUCACCAGCAAACAGGGACAGUUUGACUUCCUCUUUACCAAUUUGGAUGCCUUUUAUUUCUUUCUCUUGUAUGAUUGCUCUGGCCAAGACUUCCAGUACUAAGUUGAAGAGAAGUGGUGAGAGUGGGCAUCCUUGUCUUGUUCCAGUUCUUAGAGAGGGUGCUUUCAACUUUUCCCCAUUCAGUAUUAUGUUGGCUGUGGGUUUGUCAUCGAUGGCUUUUAUUACAUUGAGAUAUGUCCUUUGUAUGCUGAUUUUGGUGAGAGUUUUAAUCAUAAAAAGAUGCUGGAUUUUGUUGAAUGUUUUUUCUGCAUCUAUUGAGAUGCUUAUGUGAUUUUUGUUUUUAAUUCUGUUUAUGUGGUCUAUCACAUUAUUGACUUGCGUAUGUUAAAGCAUCCCUGCAUCCCUAGUAUGAAACCCACUUAAUCAUGGUGGAGUAUCUUUUUGAUAUGUUUUUGGAUACAGUUAGCUAGUAUUUUGUUAAGGAUUUUAGCAUCUAUGUUCAUCAAGGAUAUCAGUCUGUAGUUUUCUCUUUUGGUAUAUCCUUUCUUGGUUUUGGUAUUAAGCCUAUGCUGGCUUCAUAGAAUGAAUUAGGGAGGGUUCCUUCUUUCUCUGUCUUGUGGCAUAGUGUCAAAAGCAUUGGUACCAAUUCUUUGAAUGUCUGGUAGAAUUCUGCUGUGAAUCCAUGUGGUCCUGGACAUUUGUUUUAUUGGUAAUUUUUUAACUACCAUUUCA
rnacentral:lncRNA from 1 species